rnacentral:rRNA from 1 species
AAGGAAGCUACAAAGGGCUUACGGAGGAUGCCUUGGUGCCAGAUGCCGACGAAGGACGUGGGACACUGCGAAAAGCCUCGGGGAGCCGUGAACAGGCGCCGAGCCGGGGGUAUCCGAAUGGGGAAACCCACUGCGCGAGCAGUAUUCCGUUUCUGAAUAUAUAGGGAAUGGAAAGGGAACCUGGGGAACUGAAACAUCUAAGUACCCAGAGGAAAAGAGACAAUUUCCUGAGUAGUGGCGAGCGAAAGGGAAGAAGCCCAAACCGUCGAAAGGCGGGGUUGUAGGGCCUGACAAAAAGAGUAAGAAACCUGAGAGUUAGCGGAAAGGUAUGGGAAAGCCUACCAAAGAGGGUAACAGUCCCGUAUGCGAAAACGAUUGGGCUCGAGUCAGGAACCUGAGUACUACCGGGCACGCUAAUCCGGUAGGAAGCUGGGGUGACCACACUCCAAGGCUAAAUACGUCUGGCGACCGAUAGAGGACAAGUACCGUGAGGGAAAGGUGAAAAGUACCCCGGUGAGGGGAGUGAAAUAGAACCUGAAACCGUAAGCUUACAAGCAGUCGGAGGGCUAAUGGCGUGUCUGUGCAGCGUUGAAAGACGAGUGUGCGGCGCUAAGCCUGACGGCGUGCCUCUUGGAGAAUGAGCCUGCGAGUUAAUCAUUGUGGCGAGGUUAAGGGAGAGACACCCGAAGCCGUAGCGAAAGCGAGUCUGAAAAGGGCGCAUAGUGGCAAUGAUUAGACACGAAACCGGGUGAGCUACCCAUGUCCAGGGUGAAGCGGAAGUAAAAUUUCGUGGAGGCCCGAACCUACUAAUGUUGCAAAAUUAGGGGAUGAGGUGUGGGUAGAGGUGAUAUGCCAAACGAACUCGGAGAUAGCUUGUUCUCCCCGAAAUAGCUAUA